UACGAAGGGGGCUAGUGUUGCUCGGAAUCACUGGGCGUAAAGCGCACGUAGGCGGCUUUCUAAGUCAGGGGUGAAAUCCUGGAGCUCAACUCCAGAACUGCCUUUGAUACUGGAGAGCUAGAGUCCGGAAGAGGUGAGUGGAACUGCGAGUGUAGAGGUGAAAUUCGUAGAUAUUCGCAAGAACACCAGUGGCGAAGGCGGCUCACUGGUCCGGUACUGACGCUGAGGUGCGAAAGCGUGGGGAGCAAACAGG
rnacentral:rRNA from 1 species